AGCUUAGUUCUUUGGAGAAGCAGUGUGGAGUCCUAAAAAAGGAGGCUGAGUCUUACCGUUGAGGUCGGUGCCGGUAGAGAAUGGGAGGGAGUCUGCAGGAGCCAAGCACCCUAAAGAAGAGGAAGAGAGCACGUUGCUGAGAUUUGAACAGCGACCUGAGAGGUCAGACUGGACCCAGGCCUCCUCAAGAAGCAACGGAGAUGGAGAUUCUUCCCUUUUCCCGGCCCUUCGGUCCUUCUCCGGAAGAGCUACUCUGGCCAGCUCUGGGCUAGGGGCAGUGGCCGAAGAGAAGGGGAAAGUAAGGUUGAGAGCACUGGAUUCGAGCCCAGCAGAGAGCGGUUUCUAGGCCCCACCCACCCUCCCCCCAAGGUUUUCUUAAAAGUGAAUCUUGGCGUGGUUUUUGCAGACCAAACAUCAGAAACCCGGGAGAGGAAUCUAGAGAGUGCAUUUUGUUCUGUUUUGCUUUAAUAAUAAGUAGUGUGCCUUGUUAAACACCCUAUUACCCCCGCCCCCUUCUCCCACAACCUCUCUGGAGAAGAGUCUUUCCGGAGCGCCUAGAAACCUAAAAAUAACACGCCACGCUGAAGGUCCGGAGAAGCCACCGGCCACCUCUACAGAGUGGGGAUGCUGCCCGUGAAAGGUCAUCACUUUCUUCACCCCGACAACCUGACAACAAAGCCCAAGCAGUUGAUCCUUUCCUUCCUUUGAGCCCAGGAUCCAAGCCCGAAAUAGAUGGGGAGGCCCCAACCCUACAGCCAUGAGGAAAAAGUGGUUCCUCGGUGACCACCGUGGCCACCGUGGCCACCGUGACUAUCUUUCGAGUUAGAGCCUUUGGUCAAGUCUAGAUGUCACACUUUAAAUGCCUUCCAAUGUUCCCCUUCUCGAGUCUAAUUUUUGCAAAGAAAUGAGAUGGGACCAUCAGACUCUGCCUAUGUUGCUGCCAUCUGGUGUGCGAGCAGUCUCCAGCUUGUGCUCCAGCUUGUGCUGAGAAGCACGGCUGCAGUACCUUAGGGGUAAACCUAUGAUGCCAACCCCACUCACCUCCGCCAAUAUUGGCUUCCCAUGGGACCUGCAACUGUCUGGAAACAAAAAAAGAAGCCUACCAAAAGGGGAAAUUUAAAGGAGAGCAAGAAACCAUGAAGAGAGAGCCGAAAACGCGAAAGUAAAGAGUUGCCCAACUUAUUUAAAAGCAUGCGUAAUUUUGCCCGGGAGUUUCCGCAGCGUACUCUAACUUUUCUCCGCCUGCUUCCUUGGACCCAAUUUUCUUGUUCUUAUUCUGGAAGGUUUUUUUGUUUGUUUGUUUGUUUGUUUUUUGUUUGUUUGUUUUUUAACUUGACUUUACUUUGCCUGGGAACUGCACGUUUGCAUACUCCUGCAGGCUCUCUACCCUUGGCAAUGGACAGAGAAUAGCAUCCGGGCGGGAGGCUUGGCUGGGAAAGAAAGCCCUGGCGUCACCCGCGGGUUCAGUCUAGGCACUCCCCUCAGAGUACCGCAGGAGCAGGCAGAGCCACUGGCCUAUACAACCUCUGGGCUGCUGGCUACUGGGGUGAUCUGGGCCAGCGUGAUCUUAUUGAAUUUACUAAUGACCAGAGAGAUUUCUUAAGCCAAGUCCCCAGAGAACGAAUCCAAAAUGAGUAAAACAGUUGCCACUCCAGGCUCUGGCCAAGGUUGGGAAUCACAGCUCCUUCUCUGGCCUCCUCCAGUUGGAGCACGAGGUGAGCUCACUGGUGGGCUCCGCUCUCGGGGGGGGGGGGGGGGGGGGUUGUGGUCUGCGCUGCAGCAUACUGUUGAAGACACUUCUGGUAUGUUUCUGGAAACAUA
rnacentral:lncRNA from 1 species